rnacentral:tRNA from 1 species
GCGGGAUAGCUCAGUUGGUCAGAGCGCUAGAUUGUGAUUCUAGAGGUCACGGGUUCGGAUCCCGUUAUUCGCC